GAUGAACGCUGGCGGCGUGCCUAAUACAUGCAAGUCGAGCGAACGGACGAGAAGCUUGCUUCUCUGAUGUUAGCGGCGGACGGGUGAGUAACACGUGGAUAACCUACCUAUAAGACUGGGAUAACUUCGGGAAACCGGAGCUAAUACCGGAUAAUAUUUUGAACCGCAUGGUUCAAAAGUGAAAGACGGUCUUGCUGUCACUUAUAGAUGGAUCCGCGCUGCAUUAGCUAGUUGGUAAGGUAACGGCUUACCAAGGCAACGAUGCAUAGCCGACCUGAGAGGGUGAACGGCCACACGGGAACUGAGACACGGUCCAGACUCCUACGGGAGGCAGCAGUAGGGAAUCUUCCGCAAUGGGCGAAAGCCUGACGGAGCAACGCCGCGUGAGUGAUGAAGGUCUUCGGAUCGUAAAACUCUGUUAUUAGGGAAGAACAUAUGUGUAAGUAACUGUGCACAUCUUGACGGUACCUAAUCAGAAAGCCACGGCUAACUACGUG
rnacentral:rRNA from 1 species